UACGUAGGGUGCAAGCGUUAAUCGGAAUUACUGGGCGUAAAGUGUGCGCAGGCGGCACCGCAAGUCGAGUGUGAAAGCCCCGGGCUUAACUUGGGAAUUGCGCUCGAAACUAUGGUGCUGGAGUGUGGCAGAGGAAGGUGGAAUUCCAGGUGUAGCGGUGAAAAUGCGCAGAUAUCAGGAGGAACACCGGUGGCGAAGGCGGAUCUCUGGGGCCUUACCUGACG
rnacentral:rRNA from 1 species